GCUGGGCACAGUGGUGCAUGUCUGUAAUCCCAGUGGCUUGGGAGGCUGAGGCAGGAGGAUUGCAAAUUCAAAGCCAGCCUCAGCAACAGAGAGGUACUAAGCAACUCAGUGAGACCCUGUCUCCA
rnacentral:sRNA from 1 species